GAUCCUAUUUUGAUUGCCGACCUUGAUUGUGGUAACAAGUUAGAAUACGUUCGAUCUCGAUUCGUCCUCUUCAAAGUCAUCCGUGGCACUGUGUUGAAAAGUUCUUAGUCAAAGUCGAGCGUCGGAAUGGGUAAGACGUGUAUAGACGUUAAUAAGAUGACCAACUGGCGUGUGCUGCGGUACGAGAAAGCCUGCUCGGAGAUGGUGACGAGAGAGCGAGCGAACGAAGGAGCGUGCAAGCGAGAGAGAGAGAAAGAAAGCAAGCGCGAGGACUGCCUUAUAAAGGACGCAACCCCAUUAAAUCAUCGGAAAGGAGAAGAAGUAAAAGUAGAAGAAGAAGAAGAAGAAGAUGAAGAAGAGGAGGAGGAGAAGGAGGAGGAGGAUACCUAUCUCGGUAACAUUCGAUAAUUUUCUGAAGAUAGAA